rnacentral:rRNA from 1 species
CCUACGGGUGGCAGCAGUGAGGAAUAUUGGUCAAUGGGCGGAAGCCUGAACCAGCCAAGUAGCGUGCAGGAUGACGGCCCUACGGGUUGUAAACUGCUUUUAUACGGGAAUAACGCGCCUUACGUGUACGGCUUUGCAUGUACCGUAUGAAUAAGGACCGGCUAAUUCCGUGCCAGCAGCCGCGGUAAUACGGAAGGUCCGGGCGUUAUCCGGAUUUAUUGGGUUUAAAGGGAGCGUAGGCCGCAUGUCAAGUCUGCUGUGAAAUGUCCGGGCGCAACCCGGGCCUUGCAGUGCAAACUGGCGUGCUGGAGUGCGCGGAAGGCAGGCGGAAUUCGUGGUGUAGCGGUGAAAUGCUUAGAUAUGACGAAGAACCCCGAUUGCGAAGGCAGCUUGCUGGAGCGGAACUGACGCUGAUGCUCGAAAGCGCGGGUAUCGAACAGGAUUAGAUACCCUUGUAGUC